GUGGUUUGUCGCGUCGUCUGUGAAAUCCGGGGCUUACUCCGGGCGUGCAGGCGAUACGGGCAUAACUUGAGUACUGUAGGGGUAACUGGAAUUCCUGGUGUAGCGGUGAAAUGCGCAGAUAUCAGGAGGAACACCGAUGGCGAAGGCAGGUUACUGGGCAGUUACUGACGCUGAGGAGCGAAAGCACGGGUAGCGAACAGGAUUAGAUACCCUGGUAAGUCCAUGCCCGUAAACGGUGGGCGCUAGGUGUGAGGGUCUUUUCACGACUUUCGUGCCGUAGCUAACGCAUUAAGCGCCCCGCCUGGGGAGUACGGCCGCAAGGCUAAAACUCAAAGGAAUUGACGGGGGCCCGCACAAGCGGCGGAGCAUGUGGAUUAAUUCGAUGCAACGCGAAGAACCUUACCUGGGCUUGACAUACACUGGAUCGGGCUAGAGAUAGUCUUUCCCUUUGUGGCUGGUGUACAUGUGGUGCAUGGUUGUCGUCAGCUCGUGUCGUGAGAUGUUGGGUUAAGUCCCGCAACGAGCGCAACCCUUGUCUUAUGUUGCCAGCAUUUGGUUGGGGACUCAUGAGAGACUGCCGGGGUCAACUCGGAGGAAGGUGGGGAUGACGUCAAAUCAUCAUGCCCCUUAUGUCCAGGGCUUCACACAUGCUACAAUGGUCGGUACAACGCGCAGCGACACUGUGAGGUGGAGCGAAUCGCUGAAAGCCGGCCGUAGUUCGGAUUGGGGUCUGCAACUCGACCCCAUGAAGUCGGAGUCGCUAG
rnacentral:rRNA from 1 species